CCUACGGGAGGCAGCAGUGAGGAAUAUUGGUCAAUGGUCGGGAGACUGAACCAGCCAAGUCGCGUGCGGGAUGAAGGUACAGAGUAUCGUAAACCUCUUUUGUCAGGGAACAAAGGCGGGGACGCGUCCCCGGAUGAGUGUACCUGAUGAAAAAGCAUCGGCUAACUCCGUGCCAGCAGCCGCGGUAAUACGGAGGAUGCGAGCGUUAUCCGGAUUUAUUGGGUUUAAAGGGUGCGAAGGCGGUCUGUUAAGUCAGCGGUAAAAGCCCGGGGCCAAACCCGGGCCCGCCGUUGAAACUGGCAGUCUCGAGUUGGAGAGAAGUAUGCGGAAUGCGCGGUGUAGCGGUGAAAUGCAUAGAUAUCGCGCAGAACUCCGAUUGCGAAGGCAGCAUGCCGGCUCCACACUGACGCUGAGGCACGAAAGCGUGGGUAUCGAACAGGAUUAGAUACCCGAGUAGUC
rnacentral:rRNA from 1 species